GGCCGCGUAGCUCAAUAAAUAACGCGUCUGCCUACGGAGGAAAAGAUUGCAGGUUCGAAUCCUGCCGCGGUCG
rnacentral:tRNA from 1 species